GAAACACUACUAGAAAAAUGACAUUAGACAUCGCACUUUAGACAUCGGUUAGAAAUACCCCUGAUGUUAAAAGUAUAUCUUACAUCAAAUAAAUCAAAAACGAUGUCUAUUAACAAUCUAAACAUCAGUUAUUGUUAAAAAUGAUGUCUUAUUCCCAGUUUCAAAAAAUGAAAAACAACCCGCUCAUUAUUCCCCCUUAUUACAGAUAUAUUCCCCCUUAACCAAAUUUUAUUUCCCACCUUCACCAAAAUCUUAUUUCCCCUCUUUCUUUCUUUUCUUCACGACUAUGUCUCUCGAGUCUCGACUGACGACUUUCUCGACCCUCUCUCUCUUUUUCGACUCUCUCGACUCUCUCUUCUCCCACCUCUACUCUCCCUAUCUCGUCUAUCUGGUCUCUCUCACACCAUCGAUCUUGCUCCGACAUUCAUAUAGUAGUUAGGGUUCAAUUGGGUAAACCCUAAUUUGUUCUAUUGGAGACACAACUCGAAGAAAUUAGCAACUUGAAGCAAUUAGUAGAUAGAAACUUAGCUCUGAGAAACGCAACCUGCAAAUUAUAAGUUCGAUUGGGUUUAAGGGUUUGAUUAGUUCAAUUGGGUUUUAGGGUUCUUUUCCGAGUCUCCAUCUUCUUUUUCAAGUAAUAUGUUUAUGGCUGGGUCAAGAAAGUACUAUGUUUGUUUAUAUCAGAGGCUCACAGAACUAGAUGGAUUUGUUCUCUCAUUCGACCCAAAACCCAUCCCGGUAAAACUUAUAGGUUCCGGAUAUCAAAUGUGGGCCUUACUACCAACCAAGCACGUUCAAUCAGGUACGGACCUGCCCAGCUGCAUAUUGCCUUGCAGAUUGUUGCUAUAAUUUUAUUCAUCUAGUAAUGCAAAGUGCAAAACGAGCAAUAAUGUGUAUUUGUGUGUAUGUGCACGUCCAUGCGGCUGAGCUCUGCGCUGAUCUGCACGUUGAAUAUGCCUUGUUUAAUUUUAAUAUGAAAAAUGCAGACUUGGCUCUUUGUUUA